rfam:Felis catus isolate Cinnamon breed Abyssinian chromosome D3, whole genome shotgun sequence.
GCCUGGGUGGCUCAGUCGGUAGAGCGUCCGACUUUGGCUCAGGUCAUGAUCUCGUGGUUUGUGAGUUUAAGCCCCGCAUCGGGCU